rnacentral:lncRNA from 1 species
AUGACCAGCUUUCUGAUGCCACCUGCAAGUAGAGGGACUCAGAGAUCAUGCAGCAAAAGCAGAAAAAGGCAAAUGAGAAGGAGAAACCCAAGUAGCUUUGUGGCUUCAUGCGCAACCCUCCUGCCAUUCACCAGUGUCCCUGCAUCUGCAGCAGGUCCCUUUCGUGCUUCCUUCCCCUCAGGUAGCCUCUCUGCCCCGGGCCAUGGGAGUCACAGUUGCCCCUUCCCAGUGUUUUUUAUUCCUGUGGGGCUCACCCCAAAGUAUUAA